rnacentral:rRNA from 1 species
AUUGAACGCUGGCGGCAGGCUUAACACAUGCAAGUCGAGCGGGGAGAUGUAGCUUGCUACAUUUCCUAGCGGCGGACGGGUGAGUAAUGCUUAGGAAUCUGCCUAUUAGUGGGGGACAACAUUCCGAAAGGAAUGCUAAUACCGCAUACGCCCUACGGGGAAAGCAGGGGAUCUUCGGACCUUGCGCUAAUAGAUGAGCCUAAGUCAGAUUAGCUAGUUGGUGGGGUAAAGGCCUACCAAGGCGACGAUCUGUAGCGGGUCUGAGAGGAUGAUCGGCCACACUGGGACUGAGACACGGCCCAGACUCCUACGGGAGGCAGCAGUGGGGAAUAUUGGACAAUGGGCGAAAGCCUGAUCCAGCCAUGCCGCGUGUGUGAAGAAGGCCUUUUGGUUGUAAAGCACUUUAAGCGAGGAGGAGGCUACUUGGAUUAAUACUCUAGGAUAGUGGACGUUACUCGCAGAAUAAGCACCGGCUAACUCUGUGCCAGCAGCCGCCGUAA